CAGUCGCCGCGGUAACACGUAGGGUGCGAGCGUUAAUCGGAAUUACUGGGCGUAAAGCAUGCGUAGGCGGUUCGUUAAGUCUGUUGUGAAAGCCCCGGGCUCAACCUGGGAAUGGCAAUGGAUACUGGCGAGCUAGAGUGUGUCAGAGGAUGGUGGAAUUCCCGGUGUAGCGGUGAAAUGCGUAGAGAUCGGGGGGAACAUCAGUGGCGAAGGCGGCCAUCCGGGACAACACUGACGCUGAGGCACGAAAGCGUGGGGAGCAAUCAGGAUUAGAUACCCCGGUAGUCCCUGUCUCUUAUAC
rnacentral:rRNA from 1 species